rnacentral:rRNA from 1 species
GAUGAACGCUGGCGGCGUGCCUAAUACAUGCAAGUCGAGCGAACAGACGAGGAGCUUGCUCCUCUGACGUUAGCGGCGGACGGGUGAGUAACACGUGGAUAACCUACCUAUAAGACUGGGAUAACUUCGGGAAACCGGAGCUAAUACCGGAUAAUAUAUUGAACCGCAUGGUUCAAUAGUGAAAGACGGUUUUGCUGUCACUUAUAGAUGGAUCCGCGCCGCAUUAGCUAGUUGGUAGGGUAACGGCUUACCAAGGCGACGAUGCGUAGCCGACAUGAGAGGGUGACAGGAAAGAGUGGGACGGAGAUAGGGGCCAGACUGCUACGGGAGGGAGUAGUGGGGAAUAGUGAACAAGGGGCGGAAGAGAGACGCAGCAAAGAAGGGUGCGGGAUGACGGUUGUAGGGAUGUAAACAGCUUUCGACUGAGACGAAGCGUGAGUGAGGGUAAUGGGUAAAGAAGCAACGGCUAACUACGUG